CUGCAAGAGGGAUGGUAGUGGAAAUCCUUUUAUGGAGCUUGGCGCAAUAAAAGAUUGUAGCGUACAGCCCGACCCUGC
rnacentral:sRNA from 1 species